rnacentral:rRNA from 1 species
UAGCCUUCAGAGGGGGACAACAGUUGGAAACGACUGCUAAUACCGCAUACGAUCCAAUCUCGGCAUCGAGGAUGGAUGAAAGGUGGCCUCUAUUUAUAAGCUAUCACUGAAGGAGGGGAUUGCGUCUGAUUAGCUAGUUGGAGGGGUAACGGCCCACCAAGGCAAUGAUCAGUAGCCGGUCUGAGAGGAUGAACGGCCACAUUGGGACUGAGACACGGCCCAGACUCCUACGGGAGGCAGCAUG